UUUGCUGUAAUACUGCAUUUACCAAUGGAUGUUUCAAGAGCUGUAUAACAAAGCUUAUAGAAAUAGGCGUUCUUUCGCCAGAUAUAGUUAUGCAGAUAAUGAAAAAUUCUGUAAAUCUUUAAAUCCUAACUAUCCUCAGAUGCUACCCAUCCAAUCAAAGAGAAUUGUUUAAAAUAUAUCUAAUGACCUGAUAUUGGAUAGGAUCUAAGUACUAUGCAUAUGACUUUUUACAACUCUAAUAGGCAUUGCUCAACUCAAAUAUACUAAGUAUAUCAAAAUAUACUUAUAAAAUAUACUAAAUAUUAGCAAAACUAAGGACAAUUAUCUCUAUAAUGUUAUCUUACGGGAUACUCUAAUGCAAUCGUGAAGAAUUACGGGUAUCACGAUAACAUUUUGAGAUCCGCUUGUUUUCAUAUAGAGCAGGUCUAAUGUAAUGACUCAGACAGUUUGGUUAACUUGCCCUGUGGGAGGAAAAAUAUAUAAGUGACAACAGUGCUUGGCCUUUCAUAAAGUAGGGCCAAAGGUUAUCUGAAAAACACAGCUUGGUACACACACAUGAAUAGAAUAGCACUGGGCCUUCCUUCAAAACUUUAGCUAGAGCAAGCUUCCCCAAAUCGUGGCCCUAAGUGAAAUAUAUCCUCUCAAGUAUCCACUCAGUCAUUUUGUAGUGUCAGAUUCCAAUUACUGGUCACCAAAUGAGCUCGCUUAUUAAAAAUCUUAAUUUAUUUGGGAAAAAAGCUUUAAGUUAUUUCUCAAGCAAUUUGUAUCUAAUAAUAUGCUUAUUUCAAAAUAACUUUAAGAAUGAAACAGUAUCAAGGCAAAACAAGUACCUUUUCAAAUAUAGUAAUUAAUAAUGAGUUUCUUUUUUUCUUUUUAGGAUGUAUUUAGGGUUUGGGAAAAAGAGUGGCAAUAACAAGAUAUCAAGCUGGGCGUGAAGAAGGAGCAGUUUGGAAUGGCAACGGACAGCCAGAACAGAUGGACAGCAGCUGAAUCAAUCAAGAAGCGAUUGCAAUCUAUG
ensembl:lncRNA